UCCCUCUCUCGCCAUGACUCAAACGGAAAAGUGCGUGUGAUGGGAAGGAGGCCCAGCAACUAAAAUAUAUAGACUUUUGUGCACCCUUGCCUUUUGAAUAAUGCGACAUUUGUUCGUAAAUGAUAAAAGAACCAUUUAAAAUAAAAGACAAGGCUGAUGGUAAAUCUAUAAAAAAAAUGGAGGGCUAAGUCGUUCCAUCUUAAGCAUAUUAUCCGAGGAACUUGUUCUGUCCCACAACUUGGAGGGGGGCAAAACAAGAAGAGGCUCAGACUACCCAAAUUUCGCCCGUGCCUUAUUAAAUGCAAUCGCCCUGGUGGAUCCCUCGGAGCCUCCCGAAAAGGCGC